UCACGCUUGUUAAAGUCACGUGCUCGUGACUGAAUUCACAGCGUUCACGGAGUCUCUCGUCUUAAACAACAAAUAAUGUUUUAGCGACAUAAAUGAAUUUCAUCGGAUCACAACCCUUCCUUUACACUCCAAAAUUCAUGUCCAAACUGGAUCUGUUCUCUGAUGAUCUGCUAAAAGUGUUUACCAAAAAGGGUGGAGUGUUUAGAAAAAAGAUUCAACAUGUGAUGCUGCCAAUGUCUCAGACCAAGCAAGAGUGCAUUCUCAAGGGGCUAUGCAUCUACCUGAAUGAAGAUGAAUAUGAUGGAGUAUUUGGAUGAUGACCCUGCAAGAACCGAAGCGGACAUAAAGAAGACCUUUUAGGGAUUCUGUGAUGUAAAGCAUGAAUUUGCUGAUGCAACAGAAGACCCCGAAGAUAUCUGCAUUGUGCUGGAAGAUGUGGAGGUGCUUUCUGGUUUAGGUAAUGUAGCAUUGGCUACAGCCAUGCUACUUGGACUAAUAUACUCUUUAAAUCUUACUCAUCCACAGGAGAUCCACUACACUUUUAAGGUGCUCCAAAAAAUGAUUCUCGAGCUGAACUUGUGUAAAUUGUCUGCCAAAGCACAGGCGCAGAAAACAAAGCUCUUCACUUAGGUGUGCUGUGUUUGAGGAUCCCUUUGUGAAUGCUGUUUUAUUUCUUUGUAUGCUCAUGUGAUUUUGUUGUAUCUGAAUUUUUGCACGAUGAGCAGAGGUGAUUACGUCUCUCAAUCACAUUUAAUAUCAUGUUUAAGAAAACAAAAUAAAAUAACAUUUUGUUAUAUUCUUA